GAUGAACGCUGGCGGCGUGCCUAAUACAUGCAAGUCGAGCGAAUGGAUUAAGAGCUUGCUCUUAUGAAGUUAGCGGCGGACGGGUGAGUAACACGUGGGUAACCUGCCCAUAAGACUGGGAUAACUCCGGGAAACCGGGGCUAAUACCGGAUAAUAUUUUGAACUGCAUGGUUCAAAAUUGAAAGGCGGCUUCGGCUGUCACUUAUGGAUGGACCCGCGGCGCAUUAGCUAGUUGGUGAGGUAACGGCUCACCAAGGCAACGAUGCGUAGCCGACCUGAGAGGGUGAUCGGCCACACUGGGACUGAGACACGGCCCAGACUCCUACGGGAGGCAGCAGUAGGGAAUCUUCCGCGAUGGACGAAAGUCUGACGGAGCAACGCCGCGUGAGUGAUGAAGGCUUUCGGGUCGUAAAACUCUGUUGUUAGGGAAGAACAAGUGCUAGUUGAAUAAGCCGGCACCUUGACGGUACCUAACCAGAAAGCCACGGCUAACUACGUGCCAGCAGCCGCGGUAA
rnacentral:rRNA from 1 species